GACGAACGCUGGCGGCGUGCUUAACACAUGCAAGUCGAACGGAAAGGCCCUGCUUUUGUGGGGUGCUCGAGUGGCGAACGGGUGAGUAACACGUGAGUAACCUGCCCUUGACUUUGGGAUAACUUCAGGAAACUGGGGCUAAUACCCGAUAGGAGCUCCUGCUGCAUGGUGUGGGUUGGAAAGUUUCGGCGGUUGGGGAUGGACUCGCGGCUUAUCAGCUUGUUGGUGGGGUAGUGGCUUACCAAGGCUUUGACGGGUAGCCGGCCUGAGAGGGUGACCGGCCACAUUGGUACUGAGAUACGGCCCAGAAUCCUACGGGAGGCAGCAGUGGGGAAUAUUGCAGAAUGGGCGGAAGCCUGAUGCAGCAACGCCGCGUGCGGGAUGACGGCCUUCGGGUUGUAAACCGCUUUCGCCUGUGACGAAGCGUGAGUGACGGUAAUGGGUAAAGAAGCACCGGCUAACUACGUG
rnacentral:rRNA from 1 species